CACUCUCACUCUCACUCUCUCACUCUCACUCUCACUCUCACUCUCACUCUCACUCUCACUCUCACUCUUACUCUCACUCUCUCACUCUCACUCUCUCACUCUCACUCUCAAGUACGAGAUUGGGGAUUGAAUCGGUUUUAGGGUUUUGAUACAUACCUUCCACGUGCUCAUUUCAAAGAUCUACUUUCACAAAUUGCUUUUGUAGUGGUUUCCAUUUUUAUUAAUUGGCUGAUAUGUAAAUGCAAUUGGCUGAUAUGUAAAUGCAAUUGCAAAGUUAUUUUUUUACGGCAAUAGUUGAUGGCUUAAUGCAAUGCUGAUUUGCAAAGUUAAUUUGAUACAAAGAAUGGCAAUGGUUAUGCAAUGCUGACUUGCAAAGUUAAUUUGUUACAAAGAAUGACAAUAGUUAUGCAAUGCUGACUUGCAAAG